rnacentral:rRNA from 1 species
UGGCUCAGGAUGAACGCUGGCGGCGUGCUUAACACAUGCAAGUCGAACGAAGCACUUUAUUACGAUUUCUUCGGAAUGACGAUUUAGUGACUGAGUGGCGGACGGGUGAGUAACGCGUGGGUAACCUGCCUUAUACAGGGGGAUAACAGUUAGAAAUGACUGCUAAUACCGCAUAAGCGCACAGGAUUGCAUGAUCUAGUGUGAAAAACUCCGGUGGUAUAAGAUGGACCCGCGUCUGAUUAGCUGGUUGGCGGUGUAACGGACCACCAAGACGACGAUCAGUAGCCGGCUUGAGAGAGUGAACGGCCACAUUGGGACUGAGACACGGCCCAAACUCCUACGGGAGGCAGCAGUGGGGAAUAUUGCACAAUGGGGGAAACCCUGAUGCAGCAACGCCGCGUGAGUGAAGAAGUAUUUCGGUAUGUAAAGCUCUAUCAGCAGGGAAGAAAAUGACGGUACCUGACUAAGAAGCCCCGGCUAACUACGUG